CUUUCAAAGUAGUCAUUUUAAUCGGUUAGAAGAAAGCUAGAGCGGAGGAACCGAAUUGUGGGGCGUAUCUCUUGAGCCUUAAUUAUCCUAUUCAGCCCGAAAAUUAAGGUAGAAAGUAGAAGGACAUCUCUCAGUCCUAGCCCGUCAGCUAACUUCGUAGGCAUCGAGAGGAGACUGA
rnacentral:sRNA from 2 species